rnacentral:rRNA from 1 species
GAUGAACGCUGGCGGCGUGCUUAAUACAUGCAAGUCGAACGGAAAGGCCUGAUUUCCCUUGCGGUGAGCGGGUACUCGAGCGGCGAACGGGUGAGUAACAAGUCAGUGUUCUGCACCGAAAUUGGGUAUAAGCAUGGGAAACUGGACCGAAUUCUAGAUUGAACCGCAGGGUGGUGCCUGUGGUGGAAAACGUGCUUCUAGUGGUAGAGGAUGCGCUCGCGGCUUAUCAGCUUGUUGGUGGGGUAAUGGACUACCAAGGCGGCGACGGGUAGCCGGACUGGGAGGGUGGACGGCCACAUUGGGACUGGGAUACGGCCCAGACUCCUACGGGAGGCAGCAGUGGGGACUAUUGCACAAUGGGCGGAAGCCUGAUGCAGCGACGCCGCGUGGGAGAUGACGGCUUUCGGGUUGUAAACUCCUUUCGACCGCGAGGAAGCCACCUGGUUGGAAGGGUGGUGACGGUAGUGGUAGAAGAAGCACCGGCUAACUACGUG